rnacentral:rRNA from 1 species
UACGUAGGAUCCAAGCGUUGUCCGGAAUUACUGGGCAUAAAGGGAGCGUAGGCGGAUUUGUGCGUCAGAGGUGAAAUCCCACAGCUUAACUGUGGAACUGCCUUUGAUACGGCAAAUCUUGAGUAUGAGAGAGGCGAGUAGAAUUCCAGGUGUAGCGGUGAAAUGCGUAGAUAUCUGGAGGAAUACCAGUGGUGAAGACGGCUCGCUGGCUCAUAACUGACGCUGAGGCUCGAAAGCGUGGGGAUCAAACAGG